AUGCCUGAGUCUUUGAAGACCGUGUCAUCCGGGUUUACUGGACUGUAUUUAUUGAGGAAGAAGAUUUUCCUUUUUUCAACAAAGGCGAUGCCACCAUAUGGAUCGAAUUCUGUCUUCAAAUGGAAAGAGAUAUUUUCAAACAUCCUUGAAUUGAGCAUGCAGAAUGAGGGCGGCAUGAUGCUUACAUACCCACUAAUCUCUGUUAUGACAUGUCUGCAUGACGGAGAGGAUCAUACUCCUGGGUUGAGGAAAGGAGGGCUGUCCACAGAUGACACAAUCAAGAGAUGCAGUGGCCCACAGAGAAUGCAAACAGACAAAAAAGACUCACCAUGCCAGCUGCCUUUUAAAAGAAAAUGCCAAUUAAGGAAAAAAAUCGCCUUUCCAAAGAAAUGAUAUAGCAAAAGGGGAA
rnacentral:lncRNA from 1 species